GAGAGUUGGCGCGGCAGUUGCAGACUAGACCAAAACAUUUGGCUCUAGCUCCGAGGAAAGUCCGGGCUCCCGAAAGAUCAAACUUGCUGGGUAACGCCCAGUGCGCGCGAGCGUGAGGAUAGUGCCACAGAAACAUACCGCCGUAACAGUGAACAGAUCUUUCUCACGAAAAUCUGAAACCUGAAAAGGUAAGGGUGCAAAGGUGACGGUAAGAGCGCACCAGCAGUAUCGAGAGGUGCUGGCUCGGUAAACCCCGGUUGGGAGCAAGGUCGGUGGGAUAUAGGUUGGUCUUUUUCCUAUCCCAGUUUGGUGAACCGCUAGAGGUGACUGGCAACAGCCAUCCCAGAUAGAUAACUGCCCUUGGCAUUGCCCAAGAACAGAACCCGGCUUAUGUCCAGCUCUCCUGA
rnacentral:RNase_P_RNA from 2 species